rnacentral:rRNA from 1 species
UGGGGAAUAUUGCACAAUGGGCGCAAGCCUGAUGCAGCCAUGCCGCGUGUGUGAAGAAGGCCUUCGGGUUGUAAAGCACUUUCAGCGGGGAGGAAGGCGAUAAGGUUAAUAACCUCAUCGAUUGACGUUACCCGCAGAAGAAGCACCGGCUAACUCCGUGCCAGCAGCCGCGGUAAUACGGAGGGUGCAAGCGUUAAUCGUAAUUACUGGGCGUAAAGCGCACGCAGGCGGUUUGUUAAGUCAGAUGUGAAAUCCCCGGGCUCAACCUGGGAACGGCAUCUGAUACUGGCAAGCUUGAGUCUCGUAGAGGGGGGUAGAAGUCCAGGUGUAGCGGUGAAAUGCGUAGAGAUCUGGAGGAAUACCGGUGGCGAAGGCGGCCCCCUGGACGAAGACUGACGCUCAGGUGCGAAAGCGUGGGGAGCAAACAGG